rnacentral:rRNA from 1 species
ACGAACGCUGGCGGCGUGCUUAACACAUGCCAGUCGAACGGAAAGGCCCUGCUUUUGUGGGGUGCUCGAGUGGCGAACGGGUGAGUAACACGUGAGUAACCUGCCCUUGACUUUGGGAUAACUUCAAGAAACUGGGGCUAAUACCGGAUAGGAGCUCCUGCUGCAUGGUGGGGGUUGGAAAGUUUCGGCGGUUGGGGAUGGACUCGCGGCUUAUCAGCUUGUUGGUGGGGUAGUGGCUUACCAAGGCUUUGACGGGUAGCCGGCCUGAGAGGGUGACCGGCCACAUUGGGACUGAGAUACGGCCCAGACUCCUACGGGAGGCAGCAGUGGGGAAUAUUGCACAAUGGGCGGAAGCCUGAUGCAGCAACGCCGCGUGCGGGAUGACGGCCUUCGGGUUGUAAACCGCUUUCGCCUGUGACGAAGCGUGAGUGACGGUAAUGGGUAAAGAAGCACCGGCUAACUACGUG